UCGAUGCGUUUCUAAGCUCAGUCAUUCGCCAUUCUUCCUUCCGAAAGCAUAUAAGCACUCAUUAAUUAUAAAAUUUUUGGUUUGAUUGAAUUUGAAUAUUAAUUAAAUUGCAAAGUUAAAAUCAUGUUGUCAAAAUCAGUGCUCAUUCUCUUGUUGGUGUGUGUGAUCGGUGUGAUGUCGGGCCCACAGUGCGCUUGUACGUUCAAUUACGAGCCUGUCUGCGGGUCCGAUGGCAAGGACUACGAUAACUCGAGCUGCAUGAGGUGUGCGGACCCAAAUUUGACAGUCGCGAAAUAUGGCCGUUGUUCGGGAGGCGAUAAACUUGUGCCUGUUAAUGAAUAAUGCUUUGAUAUAGUUGUAGCUGUUGAUGAAUAAAUGUUUUGAUAUAUUGCA